UCGUAAAAUUGCGCAGUUGGUGCUCGCGGCGUGGUUCACAUGCCGCAGUUCAACGGGAAGCAGGGAGGGGCCCUCCGUCAUGGAGUGCGUCCUGUGCCUGCGCUGCCCCCGCAACGGUCAGCGGAUGAGCCGUACCUCGGCUCCCUCUUCAUUGACAAGCCACUGAGCGCCUUGAACAAGCGUUUGGGAAGGCGAUGCAGAGCGUUCCGCCAGCCCGGAUACCGGCCAACGAGGUGGCUCCGCG
rnacentral:ncRNA from 2 species